rnacentral:snoRNA from 1 species
AUGGAAAUGAUGAUUAUUUCCCCAGAUGAUCGAAGCUGAUUAAACUGAGCUAUUUUUUUCUCUUUUGAGAAUCCAAGCCAGAUUUCUGAUCCUC